GCCAUAUCACAUUGAAACACCGGUUCACGUACGAUCAUCGAAGUUAAGUAACAUCGAUGCUGGUCAGUAUCUAGGUGGGUGACCGCUUGGGAAUACCAGGUACUGAAA